rnacentral:rRNA from 1 species
AAGCCCGCAAGGGGUAAGUAGAGUGGCGCACGGGUGAGUAACACGUAGGUGACCUUCCCUUUUGAGAGGGAUAACCCGAAGAAAUUCGGGCUAAUACCUCAUAAGUUCCAUUUAUUGAAAAUGAUGGAAGAAAUGAUUGCCUCUACUUGUAAGCAAUCGCUGAAGGAUGGGCCUGCGGGACAUUAGCUAGUUGGUGGGGUAACGGCCUACCAAGGCGACGAUGUCUAGCCGGUUUGAGAGAACGUCCGGCCACACUGGAACUGAGACACGGUCCAGACUCCUACGGGAGGCAGCAGUAGGGAAUAUUGCGCAAUGGGCGAAAGCCUGACGCAGCAAUACCGCGUGAGUGAGGAAGGUCUUCGGAUUGUAAAGCUCUGUCGGGAUGGAAAAAUGGUGUGAGGUCUAAUAGGCCUUACAAUUGAUGGUACAUCCAAAGGAAGCACCGGCUAACUUCGUGCCAGCAGCCGCGGUAAUACGAAGGGUGCAAGCGUUGUUCGGAUUUAUUGGGCGUAAAGCGCGCGCAGGCGGGUAAUUAAGUCAGGUGUGAAAUCUCAGGGCUCAACCCUGAAACUGCGCCUGAAACUGGUUAUCUAGAAUGUCGGAGAGGGAAGGGGAAUUUCGCAUGUAGGGGUAAAAUCCGUAGAUAUGCGAAGGAAUACCAGAGGCGAAGGCGCCUUCCUGGACGAUGAUUGACGCUGAGGCGCGAAAGCGUGGGGAGCAAACAGGAUUAGAUACCCUGGUAGUCCACGCCGUAAACGAUGAGAACUAGAUAUUAUGGGAAUUGACCCCCGUAGUGUCGC